rnacentral:rRNA from 1 species
UACGGAGGGGGGCUAGCGUUGUUCGGAAUUACUGGGCGUAAAGCGCACGUAGGCGGCUUUGUAAGUUAGAGGUGAAAGCCCGGAGCUCAACUCCGGAAUUGCCUUUAAGACUGCAUCGCUUGAAUCAUGGAGAGGUGAGUGGAAUUCCGAGUGUAGAGGUGAAAUUCGUAGAUAUUCGGAAGAACACCAGUGGCGAAGGCGACUCACUGGACAUGUAUUGACGCUGAGGUGCGAAAAGCGUGGGGGAGCAAACAGG